rnacentral:rRNA from 1 species
AUUGAACGCUGGCGGCAGGCCUAACACAUGCAAGUCGAGCGGAUGAAGGGAGCUUGCUCCCGGAUUCAGCGGCGGACGGGUGAGUAAUGCCUAGGAAUCUGCCUGGUAGUGGGGGAUAACGUCCGGAAACGGGCGCUAAUACCGCAUACGUCCUGAGGGAGAAAGUGGGGGAUCUUCGGACCUCACGCUAUCAGAUGAGCCUAGGUCGGAUUAGCUAGUUGGUGGGGUAAAGGCCUACCAAGGCGACGAUCCGUAACUGGUCUGAGAGGAUGAUCAGUCACACUGGAACUGAGACACGGUCCAGACUCCUACGGGAGGCAGCAGUGGGGAAUAUUGGACAAUGGGCGAAAGCCUGAUCCAGCCAUGCCGCGUGUGUGAAGAAGGUCUUCGGAUUGUAAAGCACUUUAAGUUGGGAGGAAGGGCAGUAAGUUAAUACCUUGCUGUUUUGACGUUACCAACAGAAUAAGCACCGGCUAACCUCGUG